CAGCACCUCAAGUGGUCAGGAUGAUUAUUGGGCCUAAAGCAUCCGUAGCCGGCUCUGUAAGUUUUCGGUUAAAUCUGUACGCUCAACGUACAGGCUGCCGGGAAUACUGCAGAGCUAGGGAGUGGGAGAGGUAGACGGUACUCGGUAGGAAGGGGUAAAAUCCUUUGAUCUAUUGAUGACCACCUGUGGCGAAGGCGGUCUACCAGAACACGUCCGACGGUGAGGGAUGAAAGCUGGGGGAGCAAACUGGAUUAGAUACCCGAGUAGUCC
rnacentral:rRNA from 1 species